rnacentral:rRNA from 1 species
CCUACGGGAGGCAGCAGUGGGGAAUAUUGGGCAAUGGGCGCAAGCCUGACCCAGCAACGCCGCGUGAAGGAAGAAGGCUUUCGGGUUGUAAACUUCUUUUCUCAGGGACGAAGCAAGUGACGGUACCUGAGGAAUAAGCCACGGCUAACUACGUGACAGCAGCCGCGGUAAUACGUAGGUGGCAAGCGUUAUCCGGAUUUACUGGGUGUAAAGGGCGUGUAGGCGGGAAAGCAAGUCAGAUGUGAAAACCAUGGGCUCAACCUGUGGCCUGCAUUUGAAACUGUUUUUCUUGAGUACUGGAGAGGCAGACGGAAUUCCUAGUGUAGCGGUGAAAUGCGUAGAGAUUAGGAGGAACACCAGUGGCGAAGGCGGUCUGCUGGACAGCAACUGACGCUGAGGCGCGAAAGCGUGGGGAGCAAACAGGAUUAGAUACCCCAGUAGUC